UGAGGAAUAUUGGUCAAUGGGGGAAACCCUGAACCAGCAACGCCGCGUGUGGGAUGAAGGGGCUUUGCCCUGUAAACCACUGUCGGAGGGGAAGAAAAGCCGGGUUACCCGGCUGGGACUGUACCCUUAGAGGAAGGAUCGGCUAACUACGUGCCAGCAGCCGCGGUAAUACGUAGGAUCCAAGCGUUGUCCGGAAUUACUGGGUGUAAAGGGUGCGCAGGCGGGCUUGUGCGUCAGAGGUUAAAUACAUCGGCUCAACCGGUGAAAUGCCUUUGAUACGGCAAGUCUUGAGUACGAGAGAGGAUGGUAGAAUUCCUGGUGUAGCGGUGAAAUGCGUAGAUAUCAGGAGGAAUACCAGUGGCGAAGGCGGCCAUCUGGCUCGUUACUGACGCUCAGGCAC
rnacentral:rRNA from 1 species